rnacentral:misc_RNA from 1 species
CGCACCUUGCGCCCUUUGGUAUUCCGAAGGGCAUGCUUGUUUGAGUGUCAUUAUAUUCUCAAACCUUGAUAGCUUUGCGGCUACUCGAGGCUUUGGAUGUGAGGGCUUGCUGGCUUCCUUAAGUGGCGGUCUGCUCCCUUUAAAUGCAUUAGUGGGAUCCUUUGUGGAUCGGUCACUUGGUGUGAUAAUCUAUCUACGCCGCCUGGCUGAGAAGCAUAUAAUUGGGAACCUGCUCAUAACCGUCUGCUUGCAGACAACCUUCUUAAUGUUUGACCUCAAAUCAAGUAGGACUACCCGCUGAACUUAA